AUCGCCUGGGAAUCUUGUUAAAAUCCAAAUUCUGAUUCUAAUAGGUCUGAGGUAGGACCUGAGAUUCUGCAUUUCUAACAAGCUCCCAGGUGAUGCUGA
rnacentral:pre_miRNA from 1 species